GGCACUAUAGCCAAGUGGUUACGGCGACAGAUUCGAACCGUGUUGAUACGCAAACUUAUCUGUUUCCCUUUGGGAGCGCAGGUUCAAAUCCUGCUGGUGUCG